GCCAGACUCCUACGGGAGGCAGCAGUGGGGAAUAUUGGACAAUGGGGGGAACCCUGAUCCAGCGACGCCGCGUGAGUGAAGAAGUAUUUCGGUAUGUAAAGCUCUAUCAGCAGGGAAGAAAGAAAUGACGGUACCUGACUAAGAAGCCCCGGCUAACUACGUGCCAGCAGCCGCGGUAAUACGUAGGGGGCAAGCGUUAUCCGGAUUUACUGGGUGUAAAGGGAGCGUAGACGGCGAUGCAAGUCUGAAGUGAAAGGCGGGGGCCCAACCCCUGGACUGCUUUGGAAACUGUAUGGCUGGAGUGCAGCAGAGGUAAGUGGAAUUCCUGGUGUAGCGGUGAAAUGCGUAGAUAUUAGGAGGGACACCAGUGGCGAAGGCGGCCUGCUGGACUGCAACUGACGUUGAGGCUCGAAGGCGUGUGGAGCAGACAGGAUUAGAUACCCUUGUA
rnacentral:rRNA from 1 species